CGCCACCGCCGGCUGCCGCCGACCGGCCCUCCCCCGAGGCAGAAGAUGGCUGAGAGCAGCCUCCCUGCGGGAUGGAGGUAGCCGGCCCUCGGCGGAGCCGGCGUGCGGGGAGGGCUCCUGCCCGCUGUGCUGCGAAUCCUCCCGCUCCGUUGGUGGGGCGGGCAGCUCCGACUCGGUAGGCGCAGGAAGGAUCUGUCCCAGCCUCACCUUUCGUGCUCUUUGCGGUUGGUUUAACCCGUCUUUCCUAUGGCUGGGAUAUACAGCUCUACUCUGAAGACCCUGGAGGAUUUAACUUUGGACUCUGGUUAUGGGGCAGGGGAUUCCUGCAGGUCCCUUAGUCUCUCUUCUUCCAAGUCCAAUUCCCAGGCUUUCACCUCUUCUCAGCACAGAGGCAACUGGUGGUACUACUCGGGCUCCAUGAACAGUAGGAAUAACAGCUGGGAUACCGUGAACACUGUCCUGCCGGAAGACCCCGAGGUUGCAGAUAUCUUUUCCAAGUGUCCUAAACUGCCGGAUCUAGAGGAAUACCCAUGGACCGAUGAAGACAUUGGAAAAAUACUCAGAAAAGGGAAGGGAGAUGGUAAUACCAGAACCUUUUCGCAGGAAGCUGUCAGGCGCCUUUCGCAGUUACUGAGGCGCGCCUUGAUCAGAGUCUCCAGGGAAGCUCAGCGGCUCAGCGUGAUGCACUCCAAGUGCACCAGGUUUGAGGUGCAGAGCGCUAUCAAGCUCAUUCAGAGCUGGUCCUUGUCGGAAAGCUGUGUCCUGGCGACUGUCAAGGCGCUUUCUCUGUACAGCAUGAGUGCUGGAGACGGACUGAGGAAAGGUAAAUCAGCCAGAUGUGGCCUUACCUUUUCCGUGGGGAGGUUUUUCAGGUGGAUGGUGGACACUAGGAUCUCGGUUAGGAUCCAUGAGUAUGCAGCCAUCUCUUUAACCGCUUGCAUGGAAAACCUUGUAGAAGAGAUUAAGGCUAGGGUUUUGGCAAGUCAGAGCCCGGAUGGUGGAGGAGGGGAGAUCUCGGCUGAAAUCCUGGAGAUGGUUAUCAACAACGAUGCAGAACUUUGGGGAGUGUUGCAGCCUUAUGAGCAUCUCAUCUGUGGGAAAAAUGCAAAUGGUGUGCUGUCUCUGCCUGCCUACUUCAGCCCAUACAAUGAUGGCUCCAUGUGCAGCGAUGGACGGGCUGAUGCUUACGCCCAGCUGGAACUCCGAACUUUAGAGCAGUCUCUGUUGGCAACUUGCGUUGGAAGCAUCUCUGAACUGAGUGAUUUGGUAUCCCGAGCAAUGCACCACAUGCAGUGCUUGAACACCAUCCGCCCAGGCAUGAGCCCCAUCCGGCAAACCCGGCAGCAGCAACCCAUCUCCUGGUCCCCUGAUGCUCUCCACACCCUCUACUACUUCCUACGCUGUCCUCAAAUGGAGUCCAUGGAGAACCCCAACCUUGACCCUCCAAGAAUGACCCUGAACAACGAACGGCCCUUCAUGCUUCUGCCACCGCUGAUGGAGUGGAUGAGAGUGGCUAUCACCUACGCUGAGCACCGGCGCAGUUUAACUGUGGACAGUGAUGAUAUCAGGCAGACAGCCAGACUGCUCCUACCUGGACUGGACUGUGAGCCCCGGCAGCUAAAACCUGAAUGCUGCUUUAGUUCCUUCCGGAGACUGGACGCUAAGGCUGCUACUGAAAGAUUCCAGCAGGAUCUGGGUUUCCGAAUGCUAAACUGUGGGAGGACAGAUCUGAUCAACCAAGCAAUCGAUGCGCUGGGGCCUGACGGGGUUAACACCAUGGAUGAUCAGGGUAUGACCCCACUAAUGUAUGCCUGUGCUGCUGGAGAUGAAGCCAUGGUCCAAAUGCUCAUAGAUGCUGGAGCGAAUUUAGAUAUACCAGUUCCCAGUACCUCUCCGCGAUACCCGUCAGUCCAUCCCGACAGCCGGCACUGGACUGCUCUCACCUUUGCUGUGUUACACGGGCACAUCUCUGUCGUUCAGCUGCUCUUGGAUGCCGGUGCCCACGUUGAGGGCUCUGCCGUGAACAGCGAAGACAACUACGCCGAGACCCCUCUCCAGCUGGCUUCAGCAGCAGGGAACUAUGAGCUGGUCAGCUUAUUGCUAAGCCGGGGCGCUGACCCGCUCCUGAGUAUGCUGGAAGUCAAUGGGAUGUCAUCAUCGCUGCAUGAAGAUAUGAAUUGCUUCAGUCACUCAGCUGCACAUGGGCACAGGAACGUUCUGCGCAAGCUCCUGACCCAGCCCCAGCAACUGAAGGGAGAUGUCCUCUCCCUGGAGGAGAUUUUAGCAGAGGGAGUGGAGAGUGACACCUCCAGCCAGGGCAGCUCCAGUGAGGGGCAAGUCAGGCUCUGUAAAACAAGAAUGAAGGCUCUGCAGGAGGCCAUGUACUACAGCGCUGAGCACGGCUAUGUAGACAUCACCAUGGAGCUCAGGGCACUUGGGGUCCCAUGGAAGCUCCACGUGUGGAUCGAGUCCCUGCGGACAACCUUCUACCAGUCCCGUUACUCAGUCGUACAGACCCUCCUGCGGGAAUUUGUCACCAUUAAAGAAGAGGACUAUAAUGAAGAACUGGUUAACGAAGGGUUGCAGCUCAUGUUUGAUAUCCUCAAAACCAGCAAGAAUGAUUCCAUCAAUCAGCAGCUUGCGUCCAUCUUCACCCACUGCUACGGCACCAGCCCGAUACCCAGCAUUCCUGAAAUCCGGAAGACACUGCCAGCUCGGCUAGAUCCUCACUUCCUAAACAAUAAAGAAAUGUCUGAUGUAACUUUCUUAGUAGAAGGAAAGCUAUUUUAUGCACACAAAGUCCUGCUGGUUACUGCAUCUAACAGGUUUAAGACGCUGAUGACCAAUAAAACAGAACAUGACAGCCAUGGCAGCAAGACUGUUGAAAUCAGCGAUAUGAAAUACAAUAUUUUCAAGAUGCUGAUGCAGUAUUUAUACUACGGAGGAACAGAAUCUAUGGAAAUUCCCACCACUGAUAUCUUAGAGCUGUUGUCCGCUGCCAGCCUGUUUCAACUGGACGGCCUCCAGAGACACUGUGAAAUCCUCUGUGCCCAGACCAUCAGCAUGGAGAACUCUGUUAACAUCUAUAAAUACGCAAAGAUUCACAACGCACCUGAACUAGCCUCAUUUUGUGAAGGCUUCUUCCUCAAGCAUAUGAGCUCUCUCCUAGAACAGGACUCAUUCAAACAGCUGAUCUACAGCCGGAACAGCAAAGUGCAAGGCCUGGACCCUCUGCGAGACCUGCAGACAGCCCUGGCCGGCCGCCUGCACUCCGUGUAUGUCACCUCCAGGGUGUGAGGCGGGAGGGAGGCAGUGGCAGGAGCCCCGCUUCAAACGGCAAAGCUCUGGCUUUCCUGGUCGCCUUUGGGAUCUUGCUGAAAGCCCCCCACAACAGCUGUUCCCCAGGCGAGGGUGCUGGGCCUCGUCCACGACCAGGGGGAGCUGGCUUCUCUGUGCUACUACUGUCACAGAAACACUGUCACAGCACAAACAAGAACUGAGGAUGCAAGUGAAGAGCCUCAACUGAAGAGAAGAUCAAUGCUGCCAUUUCAAAAAGCACACUGCAGGGCUGUAGAGAAGUGAGGCAACCCAACACCUAAUUGUAGUCUUAAGUGUCUGUCUACACCCCAUAAUGGCCACCUAGUUCAUACGCAUUAGAUGUUUUACUUGUAAAAAGGCUGCACAGAAGGAGUUUUCUAACCCUCUGGACCACUGCCUGCUCAGCAAGUCACCUGUCUGAACACAAAGGCUGGUGUCCACAAACUACUUCACUCUAGUAAUAAAUACCAGUGGCUACACCUGGCAAGACUCUGACAUAAAUUUUCCCCCAAACUGCUUGCACCUUGAGAGAGAGAUAUUUUGUAGAUGUUCAAAGCUGAGUAGAAACUAACACUAACUCUGAAAUUACUCACUCUUUAAACCUAGUAUGAGAAACCGAGCUGGGGCAGGGACAGGAGUAUUGGUUUUUUUGUAUUUUUUUAAUACGGUUUCACUGUGCUAGUUGUUAAUCUGUUUUGAGGAGAGAAGAAAGACUAUCUACCCUUUCACUAUCAAGGCCUGAUAGUGAAAUCUAUCACUUUCACCUUAAAAACCUGUUUCUGAACAUUAUCUGUGAAACCUGACACCAUAAAAAAUGUUUUCUAACAGACUCAGGUGUAGUAGGAGCUAGCACUGUGCUGAAAAACUGUCCAGUAACAUAAAGAGCAAUAAAAGUCUCCCUGAGACCCUGAGGAACAUACAGCUUGAUGCUCUCACCUCUAGUCUCCACCUCCACAGCCUCAGCCAUGGAAUGUUUCCACAGCUACGCUACCUCAGGGGGGACUGGGCCCAGCGUGCACCUGACAGGCUCCUAGAGGUAGGCUGCAGUCUAACAUUUAGGCAGCAGCACUUGAACAAGAUGCCUCAACUCAAAUGCCCAAGAUUCGCUUUCUUUGCUUUGUUCAGAGCUGAUGCUUUCUGGCCCAAAAGGACUCAUUCGAGGCUGCCUUCGAGCUGGCUGACUUAGGAGAAUGAAAUGGAGAUAGUUCAAUCUAGAGUUUUGAGUCUGAAGCAAUGUUUUUGUGUGUGUUUUUUGAUUUUAAAUAAUCCCAACCUUAGGAAAGCAGUUACUUGUGUAAAAACACAGACCUUGCUCUUACCAAUAGCUUUAAGGAAAGACCUUCAGGUGUUCCCACACUGAUCUCUGUUAGCACCCACCGAAAGCAUUUGCUAAGACACUUUUGUUCGUUAUAGGUGGGUGAAGCAGAUGAGAAAGCAAAGUUUUCAGUGGAGAACUACUGCUUCUUAGAAAUGCAACAAUUAAUACUGUAACUAAACACACUGGAAGGAGGAGGCGGCUCAGCUGGGCCCAAGCUCCAAAGCACAACACAGACAUGGUUGAGGUAGGUCAAGGGAAGGAGAACAAACUCCAGCAUCUCCCAACAGCUCCAUCGAAGUCUGACCGUGCCUCAUCCCUGAAGGAUUUCCACGGGAGGCAGACUGCACGCGAGGACGAGAAUGAUCAGUCUCAGCUCAGUACUGACAGGCACCUUCUAAUCUGUGCUUUAAGUACACACCCACUCCUGACUAUCACCAGCUUCAGUAACCCUAUUUAUUGUCAGAAAGCCAUACAGGUGUUUCAAAAUUAUCACUGGUCUGCCUGAAAAAUACCACAAAAGGCUUUAUCUUGGAAAGUAUUUUCAAGUAGCUGCUCCAGCUAUCUGUACAAAUAUGUAGGUCCUCUUUUGUUGCUGUAAUAUUACAAUGCUUUGUUAAUUGUACAUUAAUGUUGUCAUUUAUGUAAAUGUACCAGGAUUUUAUUAACAACGUAAUUUUAAAAUACACAGCUGCUGUUGUUUAUUCUGCUCUUCUAACAACAACAAAAACUGUAUUUAAAGACACUUCUGUGGAAAAGGCAGUUGUGGCUUCAGCAUCUUAAAUUUCUUUUGGUAUAUAUAGCUAAUGCUAUGCUUUAAGACAAGGGAUAAAGAAGCAUUAACUUCCCCUUCCUAGGCUCAAACAUUUUUUGAAGUGGCAAGUUUAACUUGAAUUGUCCCUAGCUGCAGUAAGUUUACCUGCUUUCCAUCGAAAAGCAGCCAGAUGGUAGUGUCUAAGAAAAAUCCUAAUUCUAAGAUCCUUCUCUGCAGCAGAAGAAACAGUGAGAGACUUAAAACAACUAUUAACCUGUAGGUAUUCAAGCAGUCCUCAGAAGUUAAACAUCUGAUUCACUUCCAAAUCUGAAAAAGAAGAUGUGAAAAAGCAGGUAAUGCUCCCUUCUGGAGCCACCUCAGACCUCCAGAGGCCACAGUGGCUCUGGCUGGGCAGUGGCUGGUGCCUCCCCGUGGCAGUAGCGGGGUUUGUGUCAGAGCAUUGAGAACGCCCCAACAGCCGCACAAAGCCAGGCCUGCAGCCCUACAGGGAGCAAGGGCAUUUUUUAAUCUAUGAGGUGAGAAGUAUGCAGGUUUAAUUCCGCUGUCAGAGCAAGAAUUUGACCCAGAAAUGUCUUCCCUUUCCCUCCCCAAAGUUUACCUCAUAAAUCUUACAGACCUCUACCAUGUUUGGGGAUAAUGGCUGAGCUGUAACUCUGAAUUUGGUGCUACCUCUACAGGACUCGAAUACUUUCUUAGGUCACUAAGCACAUUUCAGAGGAAACCAUUAAUACAGCCAGAACCUGCACUGGGCUGCUGAGACUUCGUAAUUGCUCCUUUUGUUGCAUUUCCCACCACACAUCUGAACAAAGGGAACUGUGCAGAGUAUCUCUGUGGUGUAGCAAGACUUGAAAUCCAGUUCUAUAAUAAAUUACUGUCACAAGCAUUUCUUAGCAUUUGAUUUACAUCAUCUGAGAGAAGUCUGCUGGGAGCGAUGCAUGAGGGGUGCUUUCUCUUGCGUUGUGCCGUUCCACCGGCACUCUUGGAAACCCACCAAUACAAACACCGACUUGCUCUCAAGAGUCACGGAAUACAAACACGCGAGAUUCCCUUUGGAACACUUUUACUCUAAGAAG